rnacentral:rRNA from 1 species
AUUGAACGCUGGCGGCAGGCCUAACACAUGCAAGUCGAACGGUAACAGGAAGCAGCUUGCUGCUUUGCUGACGAGUGGCGGACGGGUGAGUAAUGUCUGUGAAACUGCCCGAUGGAGGGGGAUAACUACUGGAAACGGUAGCUAAUACCGCAUAACGUCGCAAGACCAAAGAGGGGGACCUUAGGGCCUCUUGCCAUCGGCUGUGCCCAGAUGGGAUUAGCUAGUAGGUGGGGUAACGGCUCACCUAGGCGACGAUCCCUAGCUGGUCUGAGAGGAUGACCAGCCACACUGGAACUGAGACACGGUCCAGACUCCUACGGGAGGCAGCAGUGGGGAAUAUUGCACAAUGGGCGCAAGCCUGAUGCAGCCAUGCCGCGUGUAUGAAGAAGGCCUUCGGGUUGUAAAGUACUUUCAGCGGGGAGGAAGGGAGUAAAGUUAAUACCUUGGCUCAUUGACGUUACCCGCAGAAGAAGCACCGGCUAACUCCGUG